UGGAGUAACGCCGCGUGGUGACGAAGGUUUCGGAUCGUAAAGCCCUUUUCUGGGGAACGAUAAUGACGGUCCCUCAGGAAGAAGCCUCCGGCUAACUACGUGC
rnacentral:rRNA from 1 species